GCACACCUGGCGCAACUAAUUAGCAGCUCAACGGACAUCUUCAGCUGUGGAAUGAGAUGUGUUAAACAGUAGCGCUGCGAAGGAUGGCGGGCGAACGAAAUGCCCCCCCAAAAUCAAACGCAUCCUUCAUUUUAAUUUUUAUCGUUUUAACCCAGAAUAUGCUGAUAUUACAAUAUCCGUUUCUGUAGUGUGAACUAUUUGGUUUUCCUUACCUUAGCCAUGUAGAUUGUGCGUGGGAGUAGACUGCACGACUACAAGCCUUCCGACUGUUUCGCACUGAUCUGCAUUUUUGAGGGAAGAUUAGAAGGCAAUGAAGCGGCGUCAAACAGCUCACACAAUGAAUAUUUGUGUUUGUAACAUUACGAAGUUCUAUUCCUAUACUGCGCAAGUGCGACCGGAUGUAAGUGACCAUUUCCUGAACUUGACUCAACGUCCUCCUUUAAGCGGUUGUGAAAGAAAUCGAUAUCCCUGUGCGGAGAAAGCAUUGGAAAUCUUCCGAGGGGAACGCAUGGCGGAAGAAACGUCCAGGUUGGCCUAUAAAAUGAGGUUACGCAGAACUACACACGCCUGCGAGGAGGUCGUUCCUGCUGUUGGUUGCAAAGGUGCAAGUGACGAAUUUAACGUCGGCUCCCUGUUUUCACCUCUUGGACAUGGAUUCCUCUUUGCCCUCUAAAGAGAAAACGAAUGAUGAAAAGGAAUGAUGGUUCUGUGGAUUUACUGAUGUGCUACCUGAAUAUGGAGAAAUAAUUACAGUAUGUAUCCUGCAGAACAAAUGGAAUUUCACUGUCAGGAGGCGCUCUGCUUGGUUUAGGGCACACUGUCGGGCCUUCAGUAUGCAGCCAUGUCCAGUUUGGUAUGAUUCUCCUGAUGACAACGGCUGAACUGGCCGGCGGGUAUCCAGUACCUUCCGACUACUUCGUUGGACCCAUUCGAAUGGUGACAUUUAGAUCCUUACAUAAGAAGGUAUUGAGUAACCUACUAAAUUAGCACUCUGUACCCCUAGCAUAAGGCCUCAGCACUUGCUUAUCUCCUGUUACCCCUGUGUGUGAUAUUUGCCUCCUGCCACCCUUGUGUACUAAUUGCCUCCCAUCGCCCUUGUGUACUGCUGUUAAACUGAAGUCUUAUUUUUAUUAUUUUUUUAAACCGGAGGGCAGCACAAAGGUUAAAUGUAACCAUGGGACAUGGAGUACUGUGAGCACUGUGAGCAGUCUGCAGCAAAUGGGCUGCUUUACUCUUCACAGUUGUUGGAAGUUGAUUCAUUUUCCUGGAGUGACCCUACCAUUAGGAACAAUGGUAGGGUCCUUCAUCUCUAGCCUAGUGAAAGGGAGGUGGGUCCUGGUAUUGAGCAAGGCUGUGUGUAUUUUACUCCAAUUUUAUGUAAAACGCUUAACUCACUAUCCUAGUCCUCCCUCAAUUAUAACUCUUGUUUGUAUACAACCAUACAUUGAACACUUUCAGGUGGAAACUCACUUUCAGAGUUUAAGAAUUACUGCAGUCCCUCUGCUGUCGAAGUUCCUUUCACAGCGUGACCCGUGUAGUCCACACAGCUCAGUGAAGUGUUCAUGAAGAAGGACGGAGGAUCUGCAGGAAGCAAAAUGGCCGACAUCACGGCAGCCAUGGAGCAGAAUGAAUUUUGCUGCUCCCCACCACUGCCGCCCAGCCCCGCCCAUCAUCUGAGCCACAUUAUAAACUCUGUAAAACUGACUGACAUGCUGGUCGCCAGUCAACACCCUGAGACGACCAGAGGAGGAUGGGUGUCCCCCUUGAGCCUGGUUCCUUCCGAGGAUGAGACUGUCGAGGAAGAAGAUGGAGUGCACCUUGAAAUGGCUGUGUCCCUGAAUGAAGAUCGGAAUGCCUCUAAGGGAUUGCUGAUUGGUUGGUAAUGUUUAAUACCUGUACAGAAUCCCAGCCCCGUUACGGCUUUGCCCAAUCAGAGUGGAGAAGCUCACCUGCUGACAAUUCAGUGCAGUCAGUUGCAUAAGGUAACGAACAGGCCGUUCAGCCCCACAAUGCUCGCCAUUUUCCUGACUGAAUUAGUGCUCUGAUUACCUGCAGAGUUUUUGCCUCUACUAUGUGACCUGGCAGGCUAGUCCA